ensembl:snoRNA
GGCCUCCUGGUGCUUACCACAGGCUGUGUUCUUACACUGACUGUAUAGAAAGCAGACUCAAAGCAAACCUGCCCCAUUACACCCCAGACCAGGUCAGUGUGCCCGUCGGUAAUAAAAAAAGAAAACUCUU